rnacentral:rRNA from 1 species
CUACGGGGCGCUGCAGUGAGGAAUAUUGCACAAUGGGGGGAACCCUGAUGCAGCAACGCCGCGUGGAGGAUGACGCAUUUCGGUGUGUAAACUCCUUUUAUAUGUCAAGAAAAUGACGGUAGCAUAUGAAUAAGCACCGGCUAACUCCGUGCCAGCAGCCGCGGUAAUACGGAGGGUGCAAGCGUUACUCGGAAUCACUGGGCGUAAAGGACGCGUAGGCGGGUUGGAAAGUCAGGUGUGAAAUUCUACAGCUUAACCGUAGAACUGCACUUGAAACUUCUAAUCUAGAGUAUGGGAGGGGGAGAUGGAAUUAGUGGUGUAGGGGUAAAAUCCGUAGAUAUCACUAGGAAUACCUAAAGCGAAGGCGAUCUCCUGGAACAUUACUGACGCUAAGGCGUGAAAGCGUGGGGAGCAAACAGGAUUAGAUACCCCUGUAGUC